rnacentral:lncRNA from 1 species
UGCACACUGUUAUUUCAACUAAUUUAAAUAUAAUUAUGGUUUUGUUUUGUUUUUGCUACCAGUUGCUGACACUACUCCAUUUGGUACCCAAGCCGAAGUCACAAUGAAAACCAACUUCUAUGGCACUAGGGAUGUUUGCAAGGAACUGCUGCCAUUAAUUAAGCCGCACGGUGAGAUUACCAGAAUUGCUUAAUCACAUAGUAAGAUAUGUUGAAAAGAGAUUUAAAUUCCAACUAUGAUGUUGAUAUAUGAAGGUAAGAAAGUGAUUUCCAAAUGUGCCACAAAAUGGGAGACAAUUAUUUUACUUCAAAUAGCAACUAGAUUCCUCCUUGAGUCAACAAGCUGUUAUCUCAUAUAUUAGAGUAGUACCACCAUUUUCUUUCAUUAUUAUUAUUAUUAUUAUUAUUAUCACCAAUUUCUAAUAUUAUGUUUACUUAUCCCAUGUACUUAGCAAAUGAAUGUUUGAGAGGUGCAAAAAAUAAAAAUUCAUUUAGAAAUCUACACAUCUCUGUCCUGAAGCUGGGAGCCUCCAUCUUAGUCAGUCAUUGUUAUAAGCGUUAAAAAAUAAAAACAAAAAGCUUGACAAAGACCUGAGUACAUGUUGAAAAUGUUGAAACGUUGCAGUAUCCAUUAAAGCUGCUUAACGGUGAGUGCCUGAGAUUUUCUUCCUUGACACAUUGUUAUAAGCGUUGUCCUUUGCACCUGGCUGUCAGCAUAUAGAAAGCAUACAGAGAGAGAGAAGAAAUAUACAAUCCUUGUGCUUCUCCUCAUUUGCAUUGUGUGCCUGGGCAGUGCCUCGACUGAAAUAGAUUGUGAAGCCAUUUACUAACUGUUAAAGGAUCACUAUAGGGUCAGGAACACAAACCUGUAUUCCUGACCCUAUAGUGCUAAACCCACCAUUUCGGUGGCUUGCCCCCCCUUAGCCCUGCUAUAAAAGUUUAAAACUCACCUUAUUUCUGUGGCGCUGGCUCUGCCCCCUUUGUGACAUAAUCAAAAUGGCAUUGGAUUGGCUAAAAUCAACAGUGAACAGACAGAGCUGUGGGUUUAUUGUGCUUAUGUACACAUUCUUACACAUUAGUACCACCCACAGGGUUUUGGAACACAACCAAUAAACACAUACAAUACACUCAGACACUCCCACACAAAUUCCUCCCCUCUGCAUGUGAUUCAAUUACCUUACACAAUGGGUAAUGUAAUUUAGCACAAGCAGAGAAAUACAAUUUUUCCACAUUAUUCAUAACUUGAAAAGUAUGCAUCACAUUCACAUAAAACUUACAUUUUCAGAAUCAGCAUACUCCAAAUACAAACAUACGUCAAAAUCAUACAAAUUGGUCCAGUGGUUCAAAAGAUAGAUUGUAGUCCUUUGUGACCACAGGAAGCAUGGCUUUUCUGCCCAAAACCAGUUCCACAGAGUCUUCUAUCCUGGAGAUAAUUAGAAGUAAUCCAAUUAUCUCCAAAGACAGAGGCAAAACUCCAUUGAACACAUGGCAGCAAAAGACAGUAAAAUACAAUAAAAUACACAAGGUUACAUUUAUGACAUAAAAUACAGACAUGCAACAUAUGCCCAGAUAGCUUAGGUCUGAGCGCACAUUAUUACUGAAUGGCGCUCAGAGCACACACAUACAGUUCAAUUGCCAUGGAGCCAAAGUCUUUCCCAUAGUCUUUCAUUAUACGAAUGGGCUCCAUGGCAUAGCUAUCUGGGGUAUCACUGCUCAAACAGGGCAAGCACCAAAUGACCCGGCUUUCUUGUCUUUGCAGGGGAAAAUCAAGCCUUUUAACAUGGGGCCAUAAUCCAAAGGCAACAGGCGAGCAACCAGGCUUCUCCAAUGCAAUGUGGCGAGAUUGCUCUCGUCACAUUAUUUAUAUAUAUAUAUUUUUAAGAAUUUAGUAGAUAUAUUCCACGAAGAAAAUAUGCAUGUAUUUGUGUCCAUAUGUUUUAUUUGGGGAAAGAUUAAAAUCAGCUUUGCAAGUACUCUGCUCUUUCCCUUUCUCUGGCGGCGCAGGGCUUAGCUCAUCAGCUGAGAUUCAUCAGAGCUUAUCUCAGGAGAGCUAGCGGAAGCAGACCCUAUGUAAGAAGUUAAACUACUAUAGUGGUUAUGGUGUUUGGAAUGUUCCUUUGAACGAUUGGUCUGUGAUAAUCCUUUGGAAAUAUGAAUCUUCUUAGUUAAGCACAUGCUAAAAUGAAUUUCAGAGGUGAUGGUGCACAGAGAAUCCUGAGCCUCCUCUUACCGCUGAGAGUGCUGUAGAACUGCAGUAAUGUUAAUAAUAUAAUCAAUGUUUCUGUUCCCUUAGGGAGAGUGGUCAAUGUUUCCAGCAUAGUUAGCUACAAUUCUUUGGGACGUUGCAGCCCAGAGUUACAGAAGGUCUUUCGCAGUGAGUCGAUCACAGAGGAGGAACUGGUCAAACUUAUGGAAAAGUUUGUAGAAGAUGCCAAGCAAGACAUACAUCAAAAAGAAGGUUGGCCAAACACUGCUUACGGAACAUCUAAAAUAGGAGUGACUGUGCUCUCCAAGAUCCAAGCAAGAGAGUUAGACGCAACGAGGAAAGGGGAUGGAAUAAUACUUAAUGCCUGUUGCCCAGGGUGGGUGAGAACCGAUAUGGCCGGUCCAAAUGCUCCAAAGUCUCCAGAUGAAGGUGCCGAGACUCCCGUUUAUCUGGCUCUCCUGCCGCCUGAUGCAACGGCACCUCACGGGGAGCUAGUUAGCGAAAAGAAAGUGGUGAAGUGGUAACAAUAUGUGUUGGCUUACUAGUGGGUCAAAUGAGCUUUGGAACUACAUCGUUUAUAUUCUAAUUCCCAUAAAAUGUUAUCAGCCACUUCGUUUGUUCAUGCCUGCCUUUAUUUGUUUAUGCGUGCUGCAGUCAAUUAUUGUUUGAUUGCAUUUUUGCUAGUUUUACAAAACAUCCUUGCCUCUACUCAUUGCUCUUUGAUUUGUAUAGUUUUUUUGUCUUCUUUUUAAUUUUUUCAUAAAAAAUACUUAAAACAGUGUUUUGAUUGUGAAUUAACAUUUUAACAUUAACAUAAAGGGACACUAUAGUCACAGAACAACCACAGCUUACUGAAGCCGUUUUGGUGUAUAGGUCAUGGCCCUGCGGUGUCACUACUCAAUUUUCUGCCAUUUAGAAUUUAAAUCUUUGUUUAUGCAACACUAGUCACACCUCCCUGCAUUUGUCUUGCACAGCCUUCCUAAACACUUCCUGUAAAGAGUUGUCUAAUGUUUACACUUCCUUUAUUGCAACGCCACCUCACGGGGAGCUAGUUAGCGAAAAGAAAGUGGUGAAGUGGUAAUCAUAUGUGUUGGCUUACUAGUGGGUCAGAUGAGCUCUGAUGUGGAACUACGGUGUUUAUAUGCUAAUUCCAAUAAAACUUUAUCAGCUACUUCAUGUGUUCAUAACUGCCUUUAUUAGUUUGUGGCUACUACAGUCAAAUAUUGUUUGAUUGCCUCUUUGCUAAAUAUACUAAACAUCCUUGCUAUACUCAUUGUGCUUCGAUGUGUAUACUUUUUUUUUUUUUUUUAAAUGAAAAAACAAAUACUUAAAGGGACACUGUAGGCGCCCAGACCACUUCAGUUAAUUGAAGUUGUCUGGGUGCUGUGACCCUUUUGCAUUUAGUGCUGCAAUGUAAAACAUUGCAGUUCCAGAGAAGUAGAUGUCUACAUUGCAGCUCUAAGUCUGCCCUCUGUGGCUGUCUAACAGAGAGAGCUUCCAGAAUCUAAAUGGACUUUUGGUCCGUUAUUUUGAAAAUUGGGCUGACUAGAUGGGCCGAAUGAUUCUUAUCUGCCGUCACAUUCUAUGUUUCUAUCUGAUGCUGGACAUCCUCACGGACCUCCAGCGUCAGAUUUUCCCCAUAGGAAAGCAUUGAAUAAUGCUUUCCUAUGGGAAGGUCUAAUGUGCGCGCGCACCCAUUGCUGCGCAUGCGCGUUAGGUCUCCCCUGCUGGCUGAUGUCGGGGGAGGGCGGAGCCUGACCCAGUGGGGGGGAGGGGGGGACCUAUUAACCAUAUAGUGCUAGGAAAAUGGCUUUGUUUUCCUGGCACUAUAGGAUCCCUUUAAAACAGCGUUUUGAUUGUGAAUGAACAUUUUGUAUAUUGUGCAGCCCUGAAGAAAUUGUAUCUGGUAUAAUUCAAGUCUAGUUAAUUAUCCAGAAUUGGUUCUAGUUGAUUCUCUAGAUCAGUGGUUCCUAGCCCAGUCCACAAGUACCCCCUAACAUUCCUAGAUAUAGGGGUUACCCAGUUGUGUUGCAAUGGCAAUUUCUUCAAUACUUAGUUGUAUUAUUAUUGAAUUUGUUUUACAACCAUUGCAGUGUUGUUGUGAAUUUUCAUAUCAUCAUGUAUGCUUCUAGGACACAUAUAAUUUUUACAAAUCCACAGAAAGUGCUGCCCUGCAGUAUGUCGGUGUCAAAUGCUGCAGGUAGUAAAUCAGGUCAUAAGGAGUGGGGGGGCUGUCCGCACCGGGUGCCAUCAGGUAGGGGGUGCCAGCAGGGCUGGCCAGGCUUGGAGUUCAGUGAGCUGUGUGGCUGCACCAGGUGCCAUAGCAGCAGGGGCGCCGGGCAGCCGACAGAGCUCACACGCAGGGGCUGGGAGCAGGAGCAGGAAACCUGGCUGCACAGUGAGUUGGGGGCAGAGCUAAAACGGCCAUGGGGGCGGAGGUAAAUGUAGCCUCAUACUGCUGUACACAGAAGGAGUCCCUGCUUCUCCAUCUACAACACAGGAAGGACUGAAUCCACUCCUCCUCCAGCCCAAGCUUACUGUAAGUAAGAGAGUGUGUGCUGUGUAACUGAUUGUGACUGUCUUUGACUGUGUGUGUGACUGUCUGCUUGUGAUUGUCUGUGUGACUCUGUGUGUGUGAUUGUCUGCCUCUGUGUGUGUGUGACUGCCUGCCUGUGAUUGUGGGUGUGUGUAUGAGUGACUGUCUGUGACUGUGUGUGUGUGUGACUGUCUGCCUGUGAUUGUCUAUGUGACUCUGUGUGUGUGAUUGUCUGCCUCUGUGUGUGUGUGACUGCCUGCCUGUGAUUGUGGGUGUGUGUAUGAGUUACUGUGUGUGUGUGUGUGUGUGUGUGUGUGACUGUCUGCCUGUGAUUGUCUGUGUGACUCUGUGUGUGUGACUGUCUGCCUGUGAUUGUGGGCGUGUGUGUGUGACUGUCUGUGACUGUGUUGUGUGUAUGUGUGAUUGUCUGCCUGUGGAACUCGCUUCCCUCCUCCGUUAGAUGCUCACCCAGUCUCCAUUCCUUCAAAAAAUCGUUAAAAACCCACUUCUUCGAGGGCGUGGCCUGACCGGGAACCAAGAUGGACGUGUUCGUGUAACGCUCCUCACCGACCCCGAUACCAAUAGCUAAUAUUAGCCAUCUCUCUAAAGCUUUUCCCCGCCAUCUCCCUCACCGCUGAAGAUGGACAAACGCACGCCCAGAAAGCAGCCCAAAAAACACGCCGAAGCUGCAGCAACGGUGAAAGACCUUUUCGCGGCCUCACGCCAUUGCCGCCAAGACUCUCAAGAUGGCGCCGAGGACAAUCUGAGAGCCCCUGCCACACCAUCGGACGAUACACCGUCCCCUACGCAGCGCUCACCAGCACCCGAAACGGCACACAUCCUCGCUGAAAUGGCGGCAAUGAAAUCCUUCCUCGCCCGAGAAAUAGAGAGGAGCUCCAAGGCAGUCAUGGCAGAGAUACACUCACUGGGGGCCCGGACCUCCGAAUUGGAGCAGCGGGUCGAGACCACAGUGGCAGCACAUAACACUGCCACAGACCACAUCAACGUGCUCACCUCCCGCCUGGAGGCAUCAGAAGCCGCACUAGAAGAUCUUGCAAACCGCUCGCGCCGCAACAACCUCCGCAUAAGAGGCUUGCCAGAACAAGCAGAUGAAGGCCCUCUUGCGGACACCAUACUGGCCCUCCUCCGACCCCUCCUGCCAGAUAUUCCUGAUGGACACUGGCACAUAGACAGGGCACAUAGGGCCCUGCGCGCCCGAAGAGAGGAUAUCACACGGCCCAGAGAUAUAAUAGUGCGCUUUCUUCACUUUCAAACUAAGGAAGCAGUACUGAAAAAGGCUAGAGACACCCCAAUCACGCAUAACAAUGCAACAAUAUCCCUCUUUCAAGAUCUUGCCCCCAUCACACUCCAGCGCAGACGUGAAUGGCGUCCGGUGACAGAUCUACUCAGAGCCAACUCCGUGAGAUACGCAUGGGGCCACCCUUUCAAGCUGAUGGUCUUGAAACAGGGUAGGCCCCACACCCUCCUACCCGGAGCAAAUCCCACACCAUUCCUCCGAGACCUGGGCAUUGUGCCCCCCAAUAAUCUCAGCCUGCCUACGGCCGCACUUCCAGCACUCCGUACCCUGCCGCGAGAGUGGCACAUGGCAGCGGAAUAGAAUGCACCCGGACCGCUGCCCACAACGUUGGACCCACCCGCUGCCCGCAUCACCCCUCAGCCUGACACCUCAGGGACCCGCAGACCGCAACAAGCAACAAGCCCACUACAGCAAGGCACAAGAAGACUCUCCACAUCCGAACAACCUCUACUGACUCACCAAGGAGCAACACUGUGUCCGACAGACACCCGUCUACCUCCCAUGUACAGCACCUGAACUUCUCCUCAGCGAACUGCCCCACACCUACUCACCUGCUUCAAUGGGGCCACUUCACCGCCCAGCAGGAGGCAUCACCCAGGGCAAAGGCACUACGGAAGACUCUAAUUGGACUGACAGCAAGGCUAUCCAUAGAUCGCCUUCAACACGACCGCCAUCACCUCCGGCCAACUGAGCUGUAAUGUAUUUCCAGCACACACAAAUGUGACUCAUUAGGCUAAGGUAGUAUACACUCCAUACGAACCUGUCACAGCUGCUCUGACACGCACACAGUAGGGACAUACCAACGAGCACACACUUAUUAAAUUAAAAUUUACUAAAGUUUUUAUUUAAAAAAUUUUUUAAAAAAAUACACCAAACAAAAAUACCCCCCCAAAAAAAAAAAAAUUUAAUAAAAAAUACACCAAACAAAAAUACCAAAAAAAAAAAUGAAUCAAUAAAUACACCACUCAACAUGAUCAGGGAUCACAGCUGGAACAAGACCACACACGCUCCGACAGGCCCUGCCGCUGGGACGGGCGCAUACUUACGGCACCGCACCGCUAUCGUACAGAAACGGUCACGGCAGGACACCCUCAGGGCUACCUACUAAGCAAUGCCACUGCCUAACGAUGAUGUCACAUGAUGCACCGGUCACAUAGAGGGGCGAGAAGCCAUGCACUAUAUACAGAUAACCUAGCAUUACUUCAGGGCAAAUGAUAAUGAUAUAAACAUGAAUGUAUAUGUGAUACCUGUACUGCAAAUUUUACAAUGUUUACCCUGGCUCAAACACAACGAUGUGUCCACCCCUACUUCCAAUAACCCAUCCCAUCCCACACGGGAACCUUCAGCUAAGGAACACAUUAGGUGAUAUAGCGUCAGAUAUAGGUGCCCAUGGGAAAUGAGAGUAGUACGGGUCAAGCUGGACUCAGCCACACAAGAGAUUAGCUCAGCGCAACACCAAACCCUGAUGUACCACACGCCCGUGCAACACAGAAUACGGGGUAGACAGGGUACAACACCCCCCCACCACCACCCCUCACCCCAGGCUUAACAUUAGCGCCUAUAGCGCUUUACCCUGACUGUCAGUCACCCCCGCACUAAGAAAACAGGAUAGUCCACUUCUACUCCACACUCCCACACACACCCUGGUCCUAACUCUGGGUAUCCAACAGGGCAGCGCAUCCCUCUCCAUCCUCAUCCCCCCCCCCCUUAUCACGCGCUUCGCACUACUGCAUCUAAACAUACCUAGACGGGGAGGUCCACCGACCAUCCAAUCAUUCCACCACAGCAGCAUAAUCCUCCCGCAGACUGGGACAUAACAGUAAGGAAACUACUACCCAUAACCUUUCCUCGAUAUUAGCGUCACUCAGCACAUCGUUUAAAUGACAGUUUUAUGGUAUAGGGGUCACUCUCGGUGACUUGGUUCAUGACCCAGACCCCCCAGACGGCAAGAGACCGGAAGGAGGCCAGGGUCCAGGUACCCCCACACAGUCUGGCACCUCAUAAGACCAGACAGGUACGAUUGUGCCUCAUCCUCACCCCCUUACCCCCUACUCCACUCCUUUCCCCCAUCCCAAUAUCUACGUCAGCACAAUACAAUCCAACCCCUACCCCAAGCACAACUCGGUCACGGAACGCAACACUGACAUACCUCCGGCGGAGAUCCCGCCCGCGCAGCAAGCGUGGGGAGCGGAGGUGGGAGAGGGGAAUGCCCCGCGUCAUAUUCCAACAUCUCUACCCCAUGAGAGAUGCUUCCAACCCACCACCAUGACAAUAAAAAUAACCUCACUCAACGUGAAGGGCCUCAACGCCCCGCGCAAGAGGCGUACGCUCUUUAGAGAACUGAAGAGACUCAACCCGGACAUCGCGUUCCUACAAGAGACGCACUUGCCCAGGUCUCCCUCCGCGACCAUACCUAUCGGGUAGCCGCUGAGGCACGAGCCUUCCAAAAACGAAAUGGGGUAAUUAUCCUACUCCACAAGCGAUGCCCUAUGCACAUCACCCAAGUGGUAAGCGACCCAGAGGGACGAUACAUAAUAGUCACAGGCCGAAUAUUCUCACAAACCAUACACUUGAUCAACAUUUACGCCCCUAACGCCCCAUCCUCACAAUUCUGGAACCAGAUGGCAGUCACAGUUCUGUCCCUGCCUGGUGGUUUGGUGGUGCUGGGAGGCGACCUUAACGCCACCCCCUCCCCAGCAAUUGACAGACGCACGCGCCCGGGGAUGGCAAGAUCCCAUGGCAUGGGGGCUCAAGACAAACAACUACAUAACUUCAUCAGUAAAACGGGUCUCAUAGACGCGUGGAGAGCACAACACCCCAGUCACAAAGACUAUACCUACUACUCUCCCCCCCACGAUACCUAUUCGCGCAUAGACAUGUUUCUGACUAACCAAACAGGCUUCACGAAAACUCGAAAAACGGAAAUAGGCUCUAUUGCCUGGUCCGACCAUGCAGACAUUGCUAUCUAUCUGGACGGCCUACUCAACCCUACCCCCUGGACAUGGAGGCUUAACGCAUCCCUGCUCAAAGACCCCCUGGUCGUAGCGGACGUCCAGAAACGACUAAACACAUACUUCACAGAAAAUCUAACACCUGACAUCCCAAUGACAGUAGUAUGGGCAGCACACAAAGCUGUAAUCCGCGGCCACCUCAUCAAGAUAGCGACACACAAAAAAAAGUUCAAAACCCAAAAGCUCACCCAGCUACUGGACAUUCUCCGUACGGCGGAGCAACGCCAUAAAACGGACCCAAACCCACAAACACUACAACACUUGCAAGACACCCGCCUAUCCAUUAGACAACUGCUGAUAGACGAUACGGCACGGGCACUGACAUGGACCAAGCGGACAUAUUACGAUAAAUCAAAUAAAAUGGACACGCUGCUAGCCCGCACAUUACGCCCCAGAACACAACGCCCUCACAUCACAUCCAUACGAGGCCCAGAUGGCACCAUGAAAUCCACACCGACAGAGAUAGCACAAGUCUUUACCUCCUUCUAUGAGGCCCUAUACAAUCACGCUCCCCAAGGCAGCACCCUGACCGCGGCCACUUGCCAAAAGACAUCAGAAUUCCUGACACGCCUUGAUUUACCCAAACUCCACACCACAGCCAUAGCGGAACUAUCAGCCCCGAUCACCAAAGACGAAAUUAACUUGGCCAUUUCCUCGCUAAAGAGCAACAAAGCCCCGGGCCCAGAUGGCUAUGAGGGAAGCUAUUACAAAACAUUCCGAGAGGAACUGCUGCCACACAUGGAAACCCUAUUCCAGAAUUUAAUGGAGGGAUCCCCACCAACUAAGGACAUGACGCAAGCACACAUUAUACUACUACCCAAACCUGAUAAAGACCAUACGAGACCAGAGGCGUACAGACCCAUUUCCCUCAUAAAUCAUGACAGUAAAAUCUUAGCCAAAAUACUUGCAACGCGACUUAACCCAUACCUCACUCGCCUUAUCCACACAGACCAGGUCGGGUUCAUUCCCGGCAGACAACUAUUCGAAAAUACGAGACGAAACAUAGACACGAUAUGGACACUCUCUACAACCAAAACACCAGCGAUAACCCUCUCCCUUGACGCUGAAAAGGCGUUCGACAGGGUGAGCUGGCCCUACAUGUUCACACUGCUGGAACACUUAAACAUACCCCCCCCUUCAUCACGACAGUUCGAGCACUAUACACAGACGUAACAGCGCAAAUAAAAUUGACGGGGUCAAACAGUCCACGCUUCAACAUACACAACGGCACUCGACAAGGCUGCCCCCUCUCACCAUUGCUUUUUGUAUUAACUCUCGAACCACUCCUACAAGCAAUCCGAGAACACCCAGACAUUACAGGGGUGAGCAUAACGGACCAAGAAUUCACAGUCUCCGCAUAUGCGGACGACGUCCUUCUCACACUGACUAACCCCAUCAACUCCAUACAAGCCCUAAUGCCCCUAUUACGGACCUAUAGCUCCAUAUCGGGUUACAAGGUCAACAUGGAGAAAUCCAGUGCUCUCCCAUUAUUCCUCACUCAAAACGAAAUUGCCCAAAUUACAUCAGACUACCACAUACGCAUAUCGCCAACCUUCAUCCCCUACUUAGGCAUAAAAUUGCCGGCAGACCCCGCGGCACUUUACAACUUAAACUAUUCCCCAAUGAUUACCAAACUCAUAGCGGACAUGGAGACCUGGGCGGACAAACCAAUUUCAUGGAUCGGGAGGAUUCACUCGGUCAAGAUGAAUAUCUUACCCCGGAUCCUCUUUCUCUUUCAAGCCCUACCCAUUCCCAUUACGAAACAUGACCUAAAGCCAUUACAGCGGACCAUAGACCGCUUCAUCUGGCACAAUAAGAGACACAGGGUAGCCCGCAAUAUACUAUACCGCCCCAAAGCGAGAGGAGGCCUCGGCCUUCCACACCUGCACUUCUACUACAUUGCAGCCCACCUCACACAAAUAGCACUAUGGCAUUCCCCUCCAGACUCCAGGAGAUGGGUCGACCUGGAAACUCUGAUAAUGAAAUCAGAUCUCCCACAGUUUUACAUUUGGACCCCUAAAGAGCACAGAGCACUCAUCAGGACCAACUGCCCAGCCAUCACCAACUCAAUCCAUAUCUGGGACAGAUACGCUAUAAAAUACGAACUUACAACAAUAACCUCUCCCCUCACCCCCAUAUACCGAAACAGGGCAUUUGUCCCAGGCAUGCGGCCUAGAGAUUUCAAAGGCUUAGAGAGAGCAGAUCUCCAGCGAGCCCACCAACUAUACAUAGGAGAAGAAAUAAUUCCGUUUUCGGAAUUACAAAAUAGAACGACUCUGACCCCUGCUGAUUUCUUCAGGUACCUCCAACUCCGGCACUUUGCUAGCCAAGAGUCAGUUAAACUAGCAGCCAAAGCUAAAUUGACUUUCUUCGAAAAAAUAUGCCUAGCCAAACACUACCAAAAGGGCAUGAUAUCCCUCCUGUACUCCCACCUCUGCUCCACCACGCGGGAAUGGGGCCCCCUCCAUUACACAGACAAAUGGGAGGAUGAUCUCGGGGAGGUUUUGGAGGGCAUAGAUUGGCAAGACAUAUGGGAGGCAAACGCCAAAACUUCCAUAUGCGUCACAAUGCAAGAACAAUCCUACAAAACGAUGUUUCGGUGGUAUACCACCCCAGUCCAAUUGUACCACAUGAAAAAAACACCCACAGACCUCUGCUGGCGUAACUGCGGAGAGAAAGGGACGUAUGCCCACAUGUGGUGGCACUGCCCCAAGAUCCAAUCAUAUUGGAAAGCCAUACAAACACUAUCAACCCAAAUCAUAGACAGACCUGUCUCAUUGAACCCAUGGUCUUUCCUACUAGGCAGACCCCAAAAGGACUGGCCCAAACCAAACCAACAACUCCUCAAUAAAAUAACGCUAGCGGCCAGGAGAGCAGUAGCCCAAACUUGGCUACAGCAAGACACCCCUUCAGUGGCAAUAGUGAUCAACAAGAUCAAAGAAUGCCAUCUCAUGGACAAACUCACGGCCCAAAUCCGAGGCUCCUCCAAGGCCUUCUCCAAGACAUGGGAGCCCUGGGAAACGUAUAGUGACCAAUGACGACGGGAUAGCCGACGGAACAUACAAAUACAACCGACAGACCGAAGUACACCCCCCCCCCUCUCCUCUACACCCAUCCUCCCCCCUCAACCACCAUAGUUAGGCCGAGACGACCGGUACCCCGGCCUUCAGUUCUUUCCAUUUUUUAAAUUUUUUUUUAUUUUUCUCAUUUUUUAUUUUGUUUCCAUUCCUUGUUGUAUAAUACUUAUUUGUUCUUCGUUUGUAAAAAGACAAUGGAUGAAAGUAGCAAUGUAGUUAAAACAUAUCAAACCCGGAAUAUAUCUUGUAAUGUAUUUAUGCUUGAAAAAUUAACACCUGGAAAACGAAUGGGCUCUUGCAUGAGCCACACAUUGUACAUUGCCUACUCCAUACCGUUGCAAAAUAAAGAAUUAUAAAAAAAUAAAAAAUAAACACUUUUUCAUAAAAGCGUAUCACUUAAAUAAUAUAAUAAUAAUAAUAAUAAUAUUAUAUAAUAUUAUUAUAUAAUAUUAUUAAUAUAAUAAUAAUAAUAAUUGGCAUAUGCUAAUUAGUAUCUGAUUACAAACAGUUGGAUGAGUCAUCAGUAUACUGAGCAUGUGCAGGAAUGCAGGAACUGAAAUCACACUCCUUUCUCCUUUGUUUCGGAUGAGCCAUGUGGUCUGCCCAUAUAAGGUGAUCCUGAAUAUCCUGUGUGCUGAUUGGUCUGAGGAAUAUAGGGGGGGUUAUACUGUAUGGGAGGGGAUAUGCUCGUAACAAAAGUCCUCUGCACCAUGCUUUAUGCCUCUCAGAUAUUUUUGGAACGAGUUCAUCUGAGACCCGAUCGGUGUGUAAAUAAAAGACCUGUUACUUCCUGAAGACUUGUGUCCAUAUCUCUAUGUGUGGCUUCUGCGGUUUGUUCCUGUUAUUCCUCCGGUAACAGGACCUGAAUGCAAGCUCUAUAUUUAGACCUGUGACUUUCCAAAACACUAUAAAACCUGUACAUGGGGGUUACUGUUAUACUCGGGAAACUUCGCUGAACACAAAUAUUAGUGUUUCAAAAUAGUAAAACUUAUCAUGUUGAUGACAUUACCAGUAAAAGUGCAGUUUUUGUGUAAAAAAUGCAAAAAAACAAAUAUGAACGCCAACUUUGGCCAGGGUUUGCGACUAAGUGACUACUUACACAGACUGGACAUACCCUAUUUAGAAUUCCAUCGGUUUUUCUAUUUUUUCAAAUGUUAUGCCAUGUUGGGGGCAAUUCUCAUUCCUGGGAAAACGUAAAUGGGCAAGUCUUAUAUUUGACCCUGUAACUUCCAAAACACCAUCAAACCGGGACAUUUGGGGUACUAUACGCGAGACAUUACUGAACACAAAUAUGAGUGUUUUAGAGCAGUAAAACAUAUAACGCUAAUGAUAUCAUUGGUGAAAGGGCAGUUUAUUUGGGAAAAAUGCAAAAAAACAAAUAUAAACUCUAACUUUGCCAGUGUUUGUGACUAGGUAGCUACGAUAAAAGACUGGACAUACCAAUUUUGAAUACCCUGGAUUGUAUACUUUUACAAAUGGUAUGCCAUGAUAGGGGUCAUUUUCAUUCCCUGGCUACCAUACAGUCUCAAAGGCAACAUAUGGCCAACAAACCAAUCUGACAAAUUUCAAUGUAUAGAAACUGAAAAUGAGGAAAGCUGUUUUUUUGAUCCUGUAUCCUUCCAUAAUACCAUGCAACCUGUACUUUUGGGGGUACUGUUAUAUUCGUGAGACAUCCCUGAACACAAAUAAAUAUUUAUAUUUGAUGUGAAAUGAAGAAGAAAAUGAUAUAUAGUAUGUGUGGGUGUACAUAAUAUGAACAAGGUAAAUUAUGGUUGAACAGACAUAUGGUUCAAAUUGCUUUAAUCAGAACUUGUAAAAUUGGCUUUGUCCUUAAGGGGUUAAAAAGAAACGGUGAAAUACACUGAAUGCAUGGUAAUAUUGCCAAAAAGGCAUCUCAAAAGAGCCUAGGACAGGUCCUAAUGAGUUAUACUGCAGGUGGCGCUGUUGGAGAAGACAAAGUGAUACACUGUUUGGAGAAUAGAACAUCAACAUUAAGAUUGUAGGGGAGUAGUCUGUGCUGUUUCUGCCUCCCAUUUAGGGUGGUCUUAUAUCUCAACCCAGCCUUAUGGGUGGGAUCUUCAAACCAAGCCUGUUCUCUGUUAUAAUAAGCACAGUAUCCCUAAGCUCCUGUCCCUAGCUUGCAUCAGCAGCUCAGGGUUACAUCAUGGCCAGUGUAAAGGUUGCAGUAGUCACAGGGGGCAAUAAGGGGAUUGGGCUGGCUGUAGUCAAAGCCUUAUGCAAGCAGUUCAGGGGGGAUGUUUAUCUCACAGCCAGGAACCCCAAACUGGGGGAGGAAUCUGUGAGGGCCCUGGAGAAGGAAGGAUUGUCCCCCCUCUUCCACCAGUUGGACAUCACUGACAUACCCAGCAUCCAGGCUCUCAGGGAUUUCCUAAAGGACAAGUAUGGGGGCAUUGAUGUACUCAUCAACAACGCUGGCAUUGCUUUUAAAGGUGGGUAUGGCUGCCCUGACUGCCCCUGGGGUAACAGGAAUGAAUGUACUGUGCACACACUGCUGUCAGGUAGUAAAGAAACUACUCUACUGGGGACAGAAGAAAGUUCAGUUCUCAAAUGGUUAAUGCCAAUAAAAGGACAAAGAGCAUAUCUGGGGGGGAGCUAUAAUUCCCAUGAUGCUUUGCAUGUUUUUAGAAUGGCAAAGCAUCAUGGAAGCUGUAGUUUUAAAACAUCUGGGGAUCUACCUUUUGGGCACCCCUGCUGUAAAGUAUAGAAUAUUUGGUCACUCUAAGCGUCACACCUACUUAAUGAAGUUCAGUAGUUUGUUGUAGGUGGUUUUGUGCAUAGAUGUUGGCCCAUUUAAACAUGCAGUGUUAAAGCCGCACUAUCACUGUUUGUGGACUUUGUCGAAUUUGUAAAGCCCGUCAAUGGUGAUAUCGCCGCUGGGGUCUGGUCAUUGCUGCACUCUAGUACAUGCGCAAGAGUACAGCAUUGAGGUCUAUGGGGAAGACCGCGGGAUCCUCCAUAAACACAGCCAAUUCCCUACAGCCGUCAUGGAUGAUGGCUGCAGGGAUUGACAUUUAGGUUCUACCUUCUGCUUGAUACAUGGCCAGGGAGGGGGGCUCUCAUUCCUUGGUGGUCCAGUGGCAUGGGCUGUGUAGGAGGGGGGCUGGCAGCAAGCUGUAACUUACCUUUCCUGCAGAGAAGAAAUACAGAGACAGAGUAGUCCCUAGAAGGGAAGCAGCUAAAACAUUUUCGAGGGGGGAGGAAUACUAUUACAGUAAAAUAAAUAUAUUUAUAUUUAAUGUUAACAUUUUCCUUUUAAAAAAUGUAAUACUUUUCUAGAAAAUUAUAUGAGAUACUGUUAUUAUGAAUGACAAUUGUUAUAUUACCAUAGGUGACAAUAUUAAAAUGUGCACGUAACAAACAUUUUGGUGUUAGUAGGAUUGGCAUCUCACGUGGCAGUUAAUGCCAAGCAAAAAUAGAAAAUCAGUAUUGUCACUUUUCAUUACUAAAUCAGGGGUAGGUGACCUUCAGCACUCCAGAUGUUGUGGACUACAUCUCCCUUGAUGCUCUGCCUGAAUCGUUGCUUUAAGAGCAUCAUGGGUGUUUCAGUAUCUGAAAGGCUGAGGGUUGCCCACCCCUGCCCUAAGUAAUAUAACCACCACACCCUGCUGUGUCCUGGCACCAUCUCCAGUUAGUGUCAAGCUGCUUAGGAACUGUUUAAUAUAAGCAAUGUAUGUCCCAGAGAGACACAUUGAUAAGAUAAUACAUAACUCACAAUAUUUCAAAUAGACAAAGAGGGGCGCUUUCAUUUUAGGCCAAAGUCGGGGCUAUUGUGAGAAGUUUUAGGUGACUUACUAAUAACAAUUUAUAUAAUUACGAUGUAAUAUAGAACAAGAACUGAUUUUUUUUAUCGACAGACCAAUUUCUAAACACAUUUAUUGUAGUUUAAAGACACAUUACUGGGAGUAUUAUUACCGUGGAGCUCUGUUAUACACUCACACACAUUACUGGGAGUAUUAUUGCCAUGGAUCUCUGUUAUACACUCAGACACAUUACUGGGAGUAUUAUUGCUGUGGAUCUCUGUUAUACACUCAGACACAUUACUGGGAGUAUUAUUGCUGUGGGGCUCUCUAAUACACGCAGACACAUUACUGGGAGUAUUAUUGCCGUGGAUCUCUCUAAUACACGCAGACACAUUACUGAGAGUAUUAUUGCUGUGGAGCUCCGUUAUACACUCAGACACAUAACUGGGAGUAUUAUUGAUGUGGAGCUCUGUGAUACAGUCAGAUACAUUACUGGGAGUAUUAUUGCUGUGGAACUCUGUUAUACAUUCAGACACAUUACUGGGAGUAUUAUUGCUGUGAGGCUCUGUUAUACACUCAGACACAUUACUGGGAGUAUUAUUGCCCUGGAGCUCUGUUAUACACUCAGACACAUUACUGGGAAUAUUAUUGCCGUGGAGCUCUGUUAUACACUCAGACACAUUACUGGGAGUAUUAUUGCUGUGGGGCUCUGUUAUACACUCAGACACAUUACUGGGAGGAAUAUUGCUGUGGGGCUCUGUUAUAAACUCAGACACAUUACUGGGAGUAUUAUUGCCGUUGAGCUCUGUUAUACACUCAGACACAUUACUGGGAGUAUUACUGCUUUGAAGCUCUGUUACACACUCAGACACAUUACUGGGAGUAUUAUUGCUGUGGAGCUCUGUUAUACACUCAGACACAUUACAGGGAGUAUUAUUGCUGUGGAGCUCUGUUAUACACUCAGACACAUUACAGGGAGUAUUAUUGCUGUGGAGCUCUGUUAUACACUCAGACACAUUACAGGGAGUAUUAUUGCUGUGGUGCUCUGUUAUACACCCAGACACAUUGCUGUGAGUAUUAUUGCUGUGGAGCUUUGUUAUACACCCAGACACACCAGCAACACAGAGCUCCUAGAAAAGAUGCACAUUAAAUGCAUUUUCUCUGAAAAGACAGUGUUUACAGCAAAAAGCCUGACGGUAAUGAUUCUACUCACCAGAACAAAUUCAAUAAGCUGUAGCUGUUCUGGUGACUAUAGUGUCCCUUUAACAGUUUGAGUGACUGUGGAAAGGAUGCCCAUUUAUAACAGUAAUUGCUGCCUUAAGAAGCAGGCUGGUUGCCCUGGUCCCUUUAACAAUUUUUCAUAAAUUUUCACAUUUCACUGCCAAUUCACCUCUAUUCUGUAGUGUGAAGUGUUUAGCAGUAAGCCUGGUCAGUAUGCAGGCAGUCAGACUUCAUUCUGAAUAUCAAGGUAACUACUGGCAAUUUCCUACCCAAUAAUUUUGCUUAUGGCCACUUUCAGAAUUUAAAGCAGCACUGUCACUGUCUGGGGACUUUGCCACUGGGGGUCCAGUGGCUGAAAGGGGGCAGGUAAAGGUCAGAUUAAAUUACGUAGAGCUAUCCUUCGCGGGCGUGGCCAUCUUGAUCCAGCAGGUCUUCUCCAGUUAAUGGCACUUCAGUGCCAACUGGUGUACUUUACUCUAAUUCCACCACUCCUCCUGCAGGCCCCCAGCAGCUUGUAUAGUAAAAUGGGGGCAAAGCACACGCGAUCUUCAGCUUCUAGAAGCUCUUUCCAACUCUCUCGAGCCACAGCCACUACACACAUCUUCCACAAGACACACCCACCCUUGGCAUCCACUACACACACAGAUACACUGUAUCCGCUGCGGGCAAACUCUGGGUUGUGUCAAAUGUCUGAUGGCAUCUCUGCAAUGUUCUUGUAACUUAUUCUAAUAAAAUUCUGGUAUUUAUUUUUUGCUACCAGUUGCUGACACUACUCCAUUUGGUACCCAAGCUGAAGUCACAAUGAAAACCGACUUCUAUGGCACUAGAGAUGUUUGCAAGGAACUGCUGCCAUUAAUUAAGCCACACGGUGAGAUUACCAGAAUUGCUUAAUCACAUAGUAAGAUAUGUUGAAAAGAGAUUUAAAUGCCAACUACAGUUGCAAGAAAAGGUAUGUGAAUCCUUCGGAAUGAUAUGGAUUUCUGCACAAAUUGGUCAUAAAAUGUGAUCUGAUCAUCAUCUAAGUCACAACAAUAGACAAUCACAGUCUGCUUGAACUAAUAACACACAAAGAAUGAAAUGUUGCCAUGAUUUUAAUAAACACACCAUGUAAACAUUCACAUGACAGGCGCACAGUCGGAUUUGCCGGCAUAUGCGCUAACCUUACCCAAACCCCAAUUAAGACACGGACACAGGUUAUACUGUUGGAAAUAAUUUGUCCACAGCUUUAUUAAAUUAUUAAUAAAAUAAUUAAGGAACAAAUGGGGUCAUUGCCAACAAAUCUUAAUAAUGUUAACCUCCCCCAUAUACAUAACAUACCCCUAGCAAUGACCCCACAAUAAUAACAAUAGAUAACAAUCUAAAUAACAUGUUAACACAGAAACUGGCCGUCCAAUUUGACCACAUUUCCACCAGGUUAAAUUGUAGGGGUGUACCGAGACACCGCUACCCACCAUAUCGAUUGUAGGGGUGUACCAAGACACCGCUACCCACCAUAUCCAUUGUAGGGGUGUACCAAGACACCGCUACCCACCAGUUCCAGUGUAGGGUGUACCAAGACACCACCACACCCCCAGGUUCGGAGCCACCGACGGGCUCGAACCUACCAACCACGUGCAACACUGCCCAAUCCACACUAAACCUCAGGAUGCCCACUUUCUCCUCCAUCUACCCUCCGAUUUAACCAGGCCAUUCCCCGCCGCUGUGAAAAAACGGGAAAUCAACUAACCUAACCAAAUACAGGGAGGGUGGGAGGGACAACUGACAGGUAAGCUUAGGUUCAGUUAAAAUGGCCACUUCAUAUAAUGGCUGGUAUAAAUACUCCCCUUAUGGCUCCGCCCUACCCAGCAUGCUAGCUGUCACUAAAUUCCUGUGGCUGCUAUGCCUACCUCCUGGCUCUGUCAAGGCCUAUUCCUCUUAGCUGCGCUGAUCCAUGGGCUACAGUGCAGGUGGAAAAAGUAUGUGAACCCUUGGAUUUAAUAAUUGGUUGAACCUCCUUUGGCAGCUAUAACUUCAACCAAACAUUUCCUGUAGUUGCAGAUCAGACGUGCACAACGGUCAGGAGUAAUUCUUGACCAUUCCUCUUUACAGAACUGUUUCAGUUCAGCAAUAUUCUUGGGAUGUCUGGUGUGAAUCGCUUUCUUGAGGUCAUGCCACAGCAUCUCAAUCGGGUUGAGGUCAGGACUCUGACUGGGCCACUUCAGAAGGCGUAUUUUCUUCUGUUUAAGCCAUUCUGUUGUUGAUUUACUUCUAUGCUUUGGGUCAUUGUCCUGUUGCAACACCAAUCUUUUGUUGAGCUUUAGCUGGUAGACAGAUGGCCUUAAGUUCUCCUGCAAAAUGUCUUGAUAAACUUGGGAAUUAAUUUUUCCUUCGAUGAUAGCAAUCCGUCCAGGCCCUGACGCAGCAAAGCAGCCCCAAACCAUGAUGCCUCCACCACCAUACUUCACAGUUGAGAUGAGGUUUUGAUGUUGGUGUGCUGUGCCUUUUUUCCGCCACACAUAGUGUUGUGUGUUUCUUCCAAACAACUCAACUUUGGUUUCAUCUGUCCACAGAAUAUUUUGCCAGUACUGCUGUGGAACAUCCAGGUGCUCUUGUGCAAACUGUAAACGUGCAGCAAUGUUUUGUUUGGACAGCAGUGGCUUCCUCUGUGGUAUCCUCCCAUGAAAUCCAUUCUUGUUUAGUGUUUUACGUAUUGUAGAUUCGCUAACAGGGAUGUUAGCAUUUGCCAGUGACUUUUGUAAGUCUUUAGCUGACACUCUAGGAUUCUUCUUCACCUUAUUGAGCAGUCUGUGCUGUGCUCUUGCAGUCAUCUUUACAGGACGGCCACUCUUAGGGAGAGUAGCAGCAGUGCUGAACUUUCUCCAUUUAUAGACAAUUUGUCUUACCGUGGACUAAAGAACAGCAAGGCUUUUGGAGAUACUUUUAUAACCCUUUCCAGCUUUAUGCAAGUCAAAAAUUCUUAAUCGUUGGUCUUCUGAGAGCUCUUUUGUACGAGGCAUCAUUCACAUCAGGCAACGCUUCUUGUGAAAAGCAAACCCAGAACUGGUGUGUGUUUUUUAUAGGGCAGGGCAGCUGUAACCAACACCUCCAAUCUCAUCUCAUUGAUUGGACUCGAGUUGGCUGACAUCGCUGUGAUUGUCUAUUGUUGUGACUUAGAUGAUGAUCAGAUCACAUUUUAUGACCAAUUUGUGAAGAAAUCCAUAUCAUUCCAAAGGGUUCACAUACUUUUUCUUGCAACUGUAUGAUGUUGAUACAAAAGAAGGUAAAAAAAAAAAAAAAGUGAUUCCCAAAUGUGCCACAAAAUGGGGGGAUAAUAUUUUACUUCAAAUAGCAAUUUGAUUUCUUCUUAGAUCAAAAUUUGUUAUAUCAUAUAUUGGAGUACUACAGCCAUUUCUUUGGAUUUCUAAUAUUAUGUUUACUUAUUCCAUGUACUUAGCAAAUGUAUGUUUGAGAAGUGCAUAAAAUUAAAAUACAUUUAGAAAUCUAGAAAUACAUCUAUGUCCUGUAACUGGGCGCCUCCAUCUUAGCUCCCUGUCAGUCAUUGUUAUAAGCGUUGUCCUUUGCACCUGGCUGUCACCAUAGAGAAAGUAUACAGAGAGAGAAGAAAUAUACAAUUCUUGUGCUUCUCCUCAUUUGCAUUGGGUGCCCUGGCUGUGCCUUGACUGAAAUGGAUUGUGAAGCCAUUUACUUAAUCUUAGCUAUAAGCUGAAAAUAAAACAGAACAUCACAUAAAAACGUUACAGGAGUACUUUAUUGGAAAUGUAUUUAUAUAUUUUUAACUAUUUAGUAGAUAUUCCCUCUCCCUCACCUCCCCCGAGGAAAUAUGCAUGUAUUUGUCUCCAUAUGGUUUCUGUGGGGGGGGAUAUUAAAACCAGCUUUGCAAGCUCUCUGCCUUUUUCCUGGCACAGACUUUCUCUGGCUUUGCAGAGAUUGGUCAGAGCUUAUCUGAGGAGAGUUAGCUUAAGCAAAUCCCAUGCAGAGAUCAAACUGCUAUAGUGGUUAUGGUGUUUGGAAUGUUCCUUUAAUGAUUGGUCUGUGAUAAUCCUUUGGAAAUGUGAAUCUUGUUGGUUAAGCACAUGCUGAAAUUAAUUUCAGAGGUGAUGGUGCACAGAGAUCCCUGUGCCUCCUCUUACCGCUGAGAGUGGUGUAGAACUGCAUUAAUGUUACUAAAAUAAUAAAUGUUUCUGUUCCCUUAGGGAGAGUGGUCAAUGUGUCCAGCAUGAUUAGCUACGAUUCUUUGGGACAUUGCAGUCCAGAGUUACAGAAGGUCUUUCGCAGUGAGUCGAUCACAGAGGAGGAACUGGUCAAACUUAUGGAAAAGUUUGUAGAAGAUGCCAAGCAAGAUGUACAUCAAAAAGAAGGCUGGCCAAACACUGCUUACGGAACAUCUAAAAUAGGAGUGACCGUGCUCUCCAGGAUCCAAGCAAGAGAGUUAGACGCAACAAGGAAAGGGGAUGGAAUCCUACUUAAUGCCUGUUGUCCAGGGUGGGUGAGGACUGAUAUGGCGGGUCCAAAUGCUCCAAAGUCUCCAGAUGAAGGUGCCGAGACCCCAGUUUAUCUGGCUCUCCUGCCGCCUGAUGCAACGGCACCUCAUGGGGAGCUAGUUAGUGAAAAGAAAGUGGUGAAGUGGUAACAAUAUGUGUUGGCUUACUAGUGGGUCAAAUGAGCUUUGGAACUACAUCGUUUAUAUGCUAAUUCCCAUAAAAUUUUAUCAGCCACUUCGUGUGUUCAUGCCUGCCUUUAUUUGUUUAUGCGUGCUGCAGUCAAUUAUUGUUUGAUUGCCUUUUUGCUAGUUUUACAAAACAUCCUUGCCUCUACUCAUUGCUCUUUGAUUUGUAUAGUUUUUUGUCUUGUUUUUAAUUUUUUCAUAAAAAAUAAAGAAUACUUAAAACAGUGUUUUGAUUGUGAAUUAACAUUUUGUAUAUUGGGCAGCCCCUAAAAAUAAAAAAAAUUCAAGUCUAUUUAAAGGGACACUAUAGUCACAGAACAACCACAGCUUAAUUUGGGUGUAUAGGUCAUGGCCCUGCAGUGUCACUACUCAAUUUUCUGCCAUUUAGAAUUUAAAUCUCUUUGUUUAUGCAGCACUAGUCACACCUCCCUGCAUUUGUCUUGCACAGCCUUCCUAAACACUUCCUGUAAAGAGUUGUCUAAUGUUUACACUUCCUUUAUUGCAA